CAGGGAGACAACAAAAUGUUUAAUAUUAUUAUUUUGUCACCUUAGGUCGAUCGGUAUCUCACGUUCUUGAUUUGUUAAGAAUUUCAUUUCCUAAGUUUUUCUAGGUCACACCCAUUAUUUUUCCUGGGCCAUUAGCUCAGGUGGUUAGAGCGCACCCCUGAUAAGGGUGAGGUCCCUGGUUCAAGUCCAGGAUGGCCCAUAUCUCUAUGUUGGGGGUAUAGCUCAGUUGGUAGAGCGCCUGCUUUGCAAGCAGGAUGUCAGCGGUUCGAGUCCGCUUACCUCCACUGAUUACCACCUCUUCCAUAAUCGGUAGAAAGGAAAUGUUUUGAGUUGUGAUCAUUAUUCUGAACGAAUCUAGCUUCCUAAUGAAAUCAUUAAGAUGCUGGACUCAUUGAAUUAAUUUCAUUGUUUUCAGAGAACCUUGACAACUGCAUAGAUUAUUUUUAAAGACAAUAAGCAUCUUUAAUGAUGCAGAUUUAUUAUUUGUGCGAAUGCAUUAAUAACAAUUCUAUUAAGCUGAUGCUUCGAUUUUUGAAGUUAUU
rnacentral:tRNA from 1 species